ACUGAGACACGGCCCAGACUCCUACGGGAGGCAGCAGUGGGGAAUAUUGCACAAUGGGCGAAAGCCUGAUGCAGCGACGCCGCGUGAGGGAUGACGGCCUUCGGGUUGUAAACCUCUUUCAGCAGGGAAGAAGCGAAAGUGACGGUACCUGCAGAAGAAGCGCCGGCUAACUACGUGCCAGCAGCCGCGGUAAUACGUAGGGCGCAAGCGUUGUCCGGAAUUAUUGGGCGUAAAGAGCUCGUAGGCGGCUUGUCACGUCGGUUGUGAAAGCCCGGGGCUUAACCCCGGGUCUGCAGUCGAUACGGGCAGGCUAGAGUUCGGUAGGGGAGAUCGGAAUUCCUGGUGUAGCGGUGAAAUGCGCAGAUAUCAGGAGGAACACCGGUGGCGAAGGCGGAUCUCUGGGCCGAUACUGACGCUGAGGAGCGAAAGCGUGGGGAGCGAACAGGAUUAGAUACCCUGGUAGUCCACGCCGUAAACGGUGGGCACUAGGUGUGGGCAACAUUCCACGUUGUCCGUGCCGCAGCUAACGCAUUAAGUGCCCCGCCUGGGGAGUACGGCCGCAAGGCUAAAACUCAAAGGAAUUGACGGGGGCCCGCACAAGCGGCGGAGCAUGUGGCUUAAUUCGACGCAACGCGAAGAACCUUACCAAGGCUUGACAUACAC
rnacentral:rRNA from 1 species